UACGUAGGGUGCAAGCGUUAUCCGGAUUUAUUGGGCGUAAAGGGCUCGUAGGCGGUUCGUCGCGUCCGGUGUGAAAGUCCAUCGCUUAACGGUGGAUCCGCGCCGGGUACGGGCGGGCUUGAGUGCGGUAGGGGAGACUGGAAUUCCCGGUGUAACGGUGGAAUGUGUAGAUAUCGGGAAGAACACCAAUGGCGAAGGCAGGUCUCUGGCCUGUAACUGACACUGAGGCUCGAAAGCGUGGGGAGCAAACAGG
rnacentral:rRNA from 1 species